rnacentral:rRNA from 1 species
GUCUACGGCCAUGCCACCCUAAACGUGCCCGAUCUCGUCUGAUCUCGGAAGCCAAGCAGGGUCAGGCCUGUUUAGUACUUGGAUGGGAGACCGCCUGGGAAUACCAUGUGCUAUAGGCG